AGAGUUUGAUCAUGGCUCAGAAUGAACGCUGGCGGCGUGCUUAACACAUGCAAGUCGUACGAGAACUCUUUAGCUUGCUAAAGAUAGUAAAGUGGCGCACGGGUGAGUAACGCGUGGGUAAUCUACCUCUGAACCUGGGAUAACAUUGCGAAAGCGAUGCUAAUACCGGAUGAUGUUGUUAGGUCUAUGGACUCUAUAACCAAAGGUGGCCUCUACAUGUAAGCUACUGUUCGGAGAUGAGCCCGCGUACCAUUAGCUUGUUGGUAGGGUAAUGGCCUACCAAGGCUACGAUGGUUAGCUGGUCUGAGAGGAUGAUCAGCCACACUGGAACUGACACACGGUCCAGACUCCUACGGGAGGCAGCAGUGAGGAAUUUUGCGCAAUGGGGGAAACCCUGACGCAGCAACGCCGCGUGAGUGAUGAAGGCUUUCGGGUCGUAAAACUCUGUCAAGUGGGAAGAACACGCUCUGUGCCAAUACUACAGAGCGCUGACGGUACCACUGAAGGAAGCACCGGCUAACUCCGUGCCAGCAGCCGCGGUAAUACGGGGGGUGCAAGCGUUAUUCGGAUUUAUUGGGCGUAAAGGGCGCGUAGGCGGCCUCUUAAGUCA
rnacentral:rRNA from 1 species